AUUGAACGCUGGCGGCAUGCCUUACACAUGCAAGUCGAACGGUAACAGGUCUUCGGAUGCUGACGAGUGGCGAACGGGUGAGUAAUACAUCAGAACGUGCCUAGUAGUGGGGGAUAACUACUCGAAAGAGUGGCUAAUACCGCAUGAGAUCUACGGAUGAAAGCAGGGGAUCGCAAGACCUUGUGCUACUAGAGCGGCCGAUGGCAGAUUAGGUAGUUGGUGGGAUAAAAGCUUACCAAGCCGACGAUCUGUAGCUGGUCUGAGAGGACGAUCAGCCACACUGGGACUGAGACACGGCCCAGACUCCUACGGGAGGCAGCAGUGGGGAAUUUUGGACAAUGGGCGAAAGCCUGAUCCAGCAAUGCCGCGUGCAGGAUGAAGGCCUUCGGGUUGUAAACUGCUUUUGUACGGAACGAAAAGCUCUGGGUUAAUACCCUGGGGUCAUGACGGUACCGUAAGAAUAAGCACCGGCUAACUACGUGCCAGCAGCCGCGGUAACAC
rnacentral:rRNA from 1 species